GCCGGGCAUGGUGGCGCAUGCCUGUAGUCCCAGCUACUCGGGAGGCUGAGGCAGGAGGAUCGCUCGAGCCCAGGAGUUUGAGGUUGCUGUGAGCUAGGCUGACGCCAUGGCACUCACUCUAGCCUGGUCAACAAAGCAAGACUCUGUCUCAAAAACAAAACAAUAAUAAUAAUAAUUGGGGCAGGCGGGUGCACCUGUAGUCCCAGUGACUUGAGAGACUGAGGCAGGAGGAUCGUUUGAGCCCAGGGAUUUGAGACUGCAGUGAGAUAUGAUGCCAUUGCACUCUAGCCUGGGCGACAGAGCAAGACCCCAUCUCU
rnacentral:sRNA from 1 species